AGGAUUAGAUACUCUGGUAGUCCACGCCGUAAACGAUGGAUGCUAGUUGUCAGGCAGCAUGCUGUUUGGUGACGCAGCUAACGCAUUAAGCAUCCCGCCUGGGGAGUACGGCCGCAAGGUUAAAACUCAAAGAAAUUGACGGGGGCCCGCACAAGCGGUGGAGCAUGUGGUUUAAUUCGAAGCAACGCGCAGAACCUUACCUACCCUUGACAUACCAAUCGCGGAUUACAGAGAUGUUUUCCU
rnacentral:rRNA from 1 species